rnacentral:rRNA from 1 species
AAAAAAGGUAAGCUACUAAGAGCGAAUGGUGGAUGCCUUGACUGGUAAAGGCGAUGAAGGACGUACUAGACUGCGAUAAGCUACGGGGAGCUGUCAAGAAGCUUUGAUCCGUAGAUUUCCGAAUGGGGCAACCCAAUGUAUAGAGAUAUACAUUACCUAUAUAGGAGCGAACGAGGGGAAUUGAAACAUCUUAGUACCCUCAGGAAAAGAAAUCAAUAGAGAUUGCGUCAGUAGCGGCGAGCGAAAGCGCAAGAGGGCAAACCCAGUGCUUGCACUGGGGGUUGUAGGACUGCAAUGUGCAAGAGGUGAGUUUAGCAGAACAUUCUGGAAAGUAUAGCCAUAGAGGGUGAUAGUCCCGUAUGCGAAAAACAAACCUUAGCUAGCAGUAUCCUGAGUAGGGCGGGACACGAGAAAUCCUGUCUGAAGCUGGGUCGACCACGAUCCAACCCUAAAUACUAAUACCAGAUCGAUAGUGCACAAGUACCGUGAGGGAAAGGUGAAAAGAACUGAGGUGAUCAGAGUGAAAUAGAACCUGAAACCAUUUGCUUACAAUCAUUCAGAGCCCUAUGUAGCAAUACAGGGUGAUGGACUGCCUUUUGCAUAAUGAGCCUGCGAGUUGUGGUGUCUGGCAAGGUUAAGCAAACGCGAAGCCGUAGCGAAAGCGAGUCUGAAUAGGGCGCUUAGUCAGAUGCUGCAGACCCGAAACGAAGUGAUCUAUCCAUGAGCAAGUUGAAGCUAGUGUAAGAACUAGUGGAGGACUGAACCCAUAGGCGUUGAAAAGCCCCGGGAUGACUUGUGGAUAGGGGUGAAAGGCCAAUCAAACUUCGUGAUAGCUGGUUCUCUCCGAAAUAUAUUUAGGUAUAGCGUUGUGUCGUAAUAUAAGGGGGUAGAGCACUGAAUGGGCUAGGGCAUACACCAAUGUACCAAACCCUAUCAAACUCCGAAUACCUUAUAUGUAAUCACAGCAGUCAGGCGGCGAGUGAUAAAAUCCGUCGUCAAGAGGGAAACAACCCAGACUACCAGCUAAGGUCCCUAAAUCUUACUUAAGUGGAAAACGAUGUGAAGUUACUUAAACAACCAGGAGGUUGGCUUAGAAGCAGCCAUCCUUUAAAGAAAGCGUAAUAGCUCACUGGUCUAGUGAUUUUGCGCGGAAAAUAUAACGGGGCUAAAGUAAGUACCGAAGCUGUAGACUUGCGCACAACUUAGAUUAUUUAAGUUUAGAAUAUGAGAAACUAAGUUAUAUGUUUAGUUAUAUUUUUACUGAUUUUUAUAGAGUAAAGAUAGAAAUAAAACUUAGUAAAAUCAGUAAAAAUAUUCUUAGACUAAAGUUAAGUAGUUUAAGUUGUGUGCAAGUGGUAGGAGAGCGUUCUAUUUGCGUCGAAGGUAUACCGGUAAGGAGUGCUGGAGCGAAUAGAAGUGAGCAUGCAGGCAUGAGUAGCGAUAAUUAAUGUGAGAAUCAUUAACGCCGUAAACCCAAGGUUUCCUACGCGAUGCUCGUCAUCGUAGGGUUAGUCGGGUCCUAAGUCGAGUCCGAAAGGGGUAGACGAUGGCAAAUUGGUUAAUAUUCCAAUACCAACAUUAGUGUGCGAUGGAAGGACGCUUAGGGCUAAGGGGGCUAGCGGAUGGAAGUGCUAGUCUAAGGUCGUAGGAGGUUAUACAGGCAAAUCCGUAUAACAAUACUCCGAGAACUGAAAGGCUUUUUGAAGUCUUCGGAUGGAUAGAAGAACCCCUGAUGCCAUCGAGCCAAGAAAAGUUUCUAAGUUUAGCUAAUGUUGCCCGUACCGUAAACCGACACAGGUGGGUGGGAUGAGUAUUCUAAGGCGCGUGGAAGAACUCUCUUUAAGGAACUCUGCAAAAUAGCACCGUAUCUUCGGUAUAAGGUGUGGUUAGCUUUGUAUUAGGAUUUACUCCGAAAGCAAGGAAACUUACAACAAAGAGUCCCUCCCGACUGUUUACCAAAAACACAGCACUCUGCUAACUCGUAAGAGGAUGUAUAGGGUGUGACGCCUGCCCGGUGCUCGAAGGUUAAUUGAUGGGGUUAGCAUUAGCGAAGCUCUUGAUCGAAGCCCGAGUAAACGGCGGCCGUAACUAUAACGGUCCUAAGGUAGCGAAAUUCCUUGUCGGUUAAAUACCGACCUGCAUGAAUGGCGUAACGAGAUGGGAGCUGUCUCAAAGAGGGAUCCAGUGAAAUUGUAGUGGAGGUGAAAAUUCCUCCUACCCGCGGCAAGACGGAAAGACCCCGUGGACCUU